rnacentral:rRNA from 1 species
GACGAACGCUGGCGGCGUGCCUAAUACAUGCAAGUCGAGCGGAAUGAAGAAGAAGCUUGCCUCUUCUGAUUUUAGCGGCGGACGGGUGAGUAACACGUGGGCAACCUACCUUGUAGAUUGGGAUAACUCCGGGAAACCGGGGCUAAUACCGGAUAAUCCAUUUUGCUUCAUGGCGAGAUGUUAAAAGGCGGCUUCGGCUGUCACUACGAGAUGGGCCCGCGGCGCAUUAGCUAGUUGGUAGGGUAAUGGCCUACCAAGGCGACGAUGCGUAGCCGACCUGAGAGGGUGAUCGGCCACACUGGGACUGAGACACGGCCCAGACUCCUACGGGAGGCAGCAGUAGGGAAUCUUCCACAAUGGACGAAAGUCUGAUGGAGCAACGCCGCGUGAGUGAAGAAGGUUUUCGGAUCGUAAAACUCUGUUGUAAGGGAAGAACACGUACGAGAGUAACUGCUCGUACCUUGACGGUACCUUAUUAGAAAGCCACGGCUAACUACGUG